rnacentral:rRNA from 1 species
GUGCACGCUGGCGGUAGGCCUAACACAUGCAAGUCGAACGGCAGCACAGGAGAGCUUGCUCUCUAGGUGGCGAGUGGCGGACGGGUGAGGAAUACAUCGGAAUCUGCCCAGUCGUGGGGGAUAACGUAGGGAAACUUACGCUAAUACCGCAUACGACCUUCGGGUGAAAGAGGGGGAUCGCAAGACCUCUCGCGAUUGGAUGAGCCGAUGUCGGAUUAGCUAGUUAGCGGGGUAAUGGCCCACCAAGGCGACGAUCCGUAGCUGGUCUGAGAGGAUGAUCAGCCACACUGGAACUGAGACACGGUCCAGACUCCUACGGGAGGCAGCAGUGGGGAAUAUUGGACAAUGGGCGCAAGCCUGAUCCAGCCAUACCGCGUGGGUGAAGAAGGCCUUCGGGUUGUAAAGCCCUUUUGUUGGGAAAGAAAUCUUUCAGGCUAAUACCCUGGGAGGAUGACGGUACCCAAAGAAUAAGCACCGGCUAACUUCGUG